GGGAUAUCGCCAAGCGGUAGAGCACUUGACUUUUAAUCAAGGUGUCCGGGGUUCGAUUCCCCGGUAAGCCACCA
rnacentral:tRNA from 1 species